GCCUCCGUAGCUCAAUCGGUAGAGCGUUUGACUGUGAGCAGUCCCUCUAACCCGAACAACCUGUACGAAAAAAAUCUAACUUGUCCUUAGCUUAAUCAAAAGGUUGCGGGUUCGACCCCCGCCGGGGGCU
rnacentral:tRNA from 1 species